AUUACAUCUUUAUUUACCUUCAAUUGUUGCGGUCUCCGGAUCAACAACUGAGUUGCUGUGCCAAGAUGCAUCAAAUAGAAAGCACUUGGUGAUGACUGCCUGAAAUAUUUUGUUGCCUUUCAGAUACAUCUGUUCUGCUUUUCACCAGAGCCUGAUGAUGAUACAAAUGAGUUCACACACGUAAGGAAGUGUACUCACUUGAAGAAGAAGAUACAAGUCAGUUUAGUGUUCGUCUACAUGUGUUCGUGGAAACUGAUGAUAUUGGGAAAGGGGGGGGGGAGAGAAAUGCAUCAGGCUGCAGCUGGCAACACAUUGCUCCCACUGCUGAGACGCUCUGUUAAGAUGCCCACAACAUUUGGAUCUCUGCACUCUCCAAU